GACGAACGCUGGCGGCGUGCUUAACACAUGCAAGUCGAACGAUGAAGCUGGAGCUUGCUCCGGUGGAUUAGUGGCGAACGGGUGAGUAACACGUGAGCAAUCUGCCCUUGACUCUGGGAUAACUGCGGGAAACUGUAGCUAAUACCGGAUACGAGGCUCGAAGGCAUCUUCGGGUCUGGAAAGAAUUUCGGUCAAGGAUGAGCUCGCGGCCUAUCAGCUUGUUGGUGAGGUAAUGGCUCACCAAGGCGACGACGGGUAGCCGGCCUGAGAGGGUGACCGGCCACAAUGGGAGUGAGACACGGCCCAGACUCCUACGGGAGGCAGCGGUGGGGAAUAUUGCACAAUGGGCGAAAGCCUGAUGCAGCAACGCCGCGUGAGGGAUGAAGGCCUUCGGGUUGUAAACCUCUUUUAGCAGGGAAGAAGCGAAAGUGACGGUACCUGCAGAAAAAGCACCGGCUAACUACGUGCCAGCCGCCGCGGUAA
rnacentral:rRNA from 1 species